rnacentral:lncRNA from 1 species
UGCUGGGGAAGAGUGUUGCCUCAGCUCAAAAGCAGAAUCGGAUCCUGAAGGACCUAAUGACUAGAAACUUCCAGCUGACUACACUCUGCAACUGACUGAUGGCACAUUGCAUAAAGAAACGCGAACCCAGCAGCACUCCUGCCAGCGGCAAUUCUGAGUGCUCAUUUCCACUUUGCCAAGACAUUACAUGGGAAGGCAUGUGCGUUUAAGGGCAUCCAAUUGUUUCUGUAUCAGAACAGCAGCAACAUCCCGGGCAGGCCUUUCCUCUGGAGUUCACGUGUAGGUCGUACUGACACACAACAUGGCCUAAAUGGACCAUGGAGGAGGAAGGGACCCCAAAUCCAGGCCAAAUGGGAGCAGGGUUGUCCUCAGGAGGACCCCAGCUAGAAGACUUUCUCUGGAACCCACGGUGCCUCUCACUAAAGUGCCCCAACGUUGGCACAACACCUACCGAAUUGUUGUUGCUGACUCUCUAUGCCCAUGAUUCAACCAGAACAACAUUGAUUCGUUAAAAGGUGCAUGAAUAAACUUGACUCUGGAAACAA